rnacentral:rRNA from 3 species
CCGCGACCCCAGGUCAGGCGGGACUACCCGCUGAGUUUA